GCGGUGCGAAGCGGCCGAGAGGCGUGAGAGCGACGCCGCCCUUGACUAAUGGGGAGAGCCGUUGGUGUGGGGUGGAGUAAGAGCGACGGCGAUUGGCUGGACGGCCUGGGCUCCUGGCGGGGCCGCGCCGGGUCUGGGGUAAGCGCAGCAAGAUGGCGACCGAGACGGUGGAGCUGCACAAGCUGAAGAGCACUCCUUAAACUUUUGGAGGUCACAGAUAUCUUUGAAACUCUGAUGAAAGCUUGCUGAACUAAAGCAAGAAUGUCUUGCUCGUGGUUUAGAGACCAAGGGAAUAAAACAAGAUCUUAUCAACAGGCUCCAGGCAUAUCUUGAAGAACAUGCUGAAGAGGAAGCGAACGAAGAGGAUGUCCUGGGAGAUGAGACCGAGGAAGAAGAACCGAAGCCCAUAGAACUGCCUGUUAAAGAGGAAGAACCUCCUGAAAAAGCUGUCGAUGUGGCAUCAGAAAAGAAGGUGGUAAAAAUUACAUCUGGAAUACCUCAGACUGAAAGAAUGCAGAAGAGGGCUGAACGGUUCAAUGUCCCUGUAAGCUUGGAGAGCAAGAAGGCUGCGCGGGCAGCCAGAUUUGGAAUUUCUUCUGUUCCAACAAAAGGUCUGUCAUCUGACACCAAGCCUAUGGUUAACUUGGAUAAACUAAAGGAAAGAGCACAGAGAUUUGGUUUGAAUGUCUCUUCCAUCUCUAGAAAGUCUGAGGAUGAUGAGAAGCUGAAAAAAAGGAAGGAGAGAUUUGGGAUUGUGACAAACUCAGCUGGAACUGGAACUACUGAGGACACAGAGGCAAAGAAAAGGAAAAGAGCAGAGCGUUUUGGGAUUGCAUAAUGAAAAGUUCAUGCUUUCUGCCCCAUAGUGGUUUCCGUUUCUCAAAUUCUUGUUUUUUUAUACACACACACACACACACACACACACACACACACACACACACACAGAGCCAUUUGCCUCACAGUGAGGAAGCGUGUACCUUGGGUACGUCCUUGAAUUCCAGCAGCAGUUUGGUUUAACUGCUACUCUGCAUUUAAGGUUGUUAUAUUUUUGUUUUUAAUUAUUUUGCUUAUUAAUAAAAAAAGAAAGAAAAGAGAA